rnacentral:snoRNA from 1 species
AUAUAUCAUCUUUAUUAAUAUUUCUCCUUCCUUUAAAUAAAUGUGCUUUAGUUAGAUAGUUACUGGAUGAUGUCCCUGCCUGCUGUCCCUUGGUGUUCCCAGGGAAGACAUUGUGGUCAGCAUCCAACAGAUUCUUUACAAAGGGAUUUUGGUCAAUGAAAGUGCUGGGAUCUAGGGUUAUGAUCUGACAUUUUCAGGCUGA